GUGCGUGAUAUUACAUAAUAACAUUAUGCACUACAGCUAGUGUAAUGUAUUACGGCGGACGAAGAAAUUUUUUUCAUUGGCGUGGAGCCAUGCGCAAUUAGUCAUUUUUUAACGUUCAAUUUAUUUUAACCUUUUCGUUUCGUUUGGUUUUUUUCGUUUUUUUUUUUUCAUCAUAUGGUAAAAUAAGAAUAACCAGAGCAACGGCGGCGUAUUUACCGCGAGCGAUUAUUUAAAAACACGAGGCGAAAAUCUAAUAAUACCUAUAAUGUCCUUCCCCUCUCUCACUCACUAUCUCUCACUCGCUCUGCUCGUCAUCUACAUAGACCGAACAUGGAGCGCUCGUGAUAAUUCGAAAUUUGAAAUAUUUUCGCGGCCUUUCAGCUGCGGUUAGGUCAGGUCACGUUGGAUCGGGCUCCGAGCGAAAAGAACCCCGUCGACCGCGCAGUUAUCAGUUCGAUCGUAUCGAAUUAUCGGACUCGGGCGUUUAGGAAAAACGUCCUAGUUAUUAUUUUUUAACAUAUUAUUAUUAUUUUUUUAUUUUUUUUUCUACCUAUCGCCAUUUAUUCACAUUUGUCCUGUUGGUGGUUGUAUGACACGGAAAUAAGAAAUUACCCCGAAGCGCUCUUCGAAGUAUUUGGUCGGAGCAAAUUACGGCCGCGGGUCGAACACUAAAAUAUAUUGAAACGUAUUGCGCGAACGGUGCGCGCGACCACGGAAAUCACGAUUUUCCCGAUGCGUUACCGUUGACCGGGAUGUUCCGCGGGAAAUUCAAUACCGCCCGGGUAUUCGCGCGUCGCUACACAUGGCGUACGCCACUUAGACGGACGGACGCUGUAUAAUGCGCGCGGGCUAGAGAGCUGUCCGUCAUACCGCGGCGAUAAUAAUGUACCGGUCGCUGUUUAUUUUAUCGUUUGGAAAACAAAACGGUUUUCGAUUGCACGGCUACAAA